AAGACCUUGCGCUUUUGGAGCGGCCGAUGCCUGAUUAGCUUGUUGGUAAGGUAAAGGCUUACCAAGGCUUCGAUCAGUAGCUGGUCUGAGAGGACGACCAGCCACACUGGGACUGAGACACGGCCCAGACUCCUACGGGAGGCAGCAGUGGGGAAUUUUGGACAAUGGGGGCAACCCUGAUCCAGCCAUGCCGCGUGAGUGAAGAAGGCCUUCGGGUUGUAAAGCUCUUUCAGCCGGAACGAAACGGUUACGGUUAAUACCCGUGACUAAUGACGGUACCGGAAGAAGAAGCACCGGCUAACUACGUGCCAGCAGCCGCGGUAAUACGUAGGGUGCGAGCGUUAAUCGGAAUUACUGGGCGUAAAGCGUGCGCAGGUGGUUUUGUAAGUCAGAUGUGAAAGCCCCGGGCUCAACCUGGGAACU
rnacentral:rRNA from 1 species